rfam:Brachypodium distachyon strain Bd21 chromosome 1, whole genome shotgun sequence.
CGAAUACUCCCUCCGUCCCAUGUUAAGUGACGAAAUAUUACAUGUAUUUAGACGUUUUUUGGGUAUAGAUACGUCCAUAUUUGGACAAAUCUGAGUCACUUAAUAUGAGACGGAGGGAGUAGUAG